rnacentral:rRNA from 1 species
CAAUAGCGUCUAUUAAAGUUGUUGCAGUUAAAAAGCUCGUAGUUGGAUUUGUGGCGUACGGUGUGUUCCGGGCACUUGUUGUCUGAGUAACCUGCUGUUGCCAUCCUUGGGUGGAACCUGUGUGGCAUUAGGUUGUCGUGCAGGGGAUGCCCAUCAUUUACUGUGAAAAAAUUAGAGUGUUCAAAGCAGGCUUAUGCCGUUGAAUAUAUUAGCAUGGAAUAAUGAGAUAGGACUUUUUUGCUAUUUUGUUGGUUUGCGCAAAGAGGUAAUGAUUAAUAGGGACAGUUGGGGGUAUUCGUAUUCCAUUGUCAGAGGUGAAAUUCUUGGAUUUUUGGAAGACGAACUACUGCGAAAGCAUUUACCAAGGAUGUUUUCAUUAA